rnacentral:rRNA from 1 species
AACGGCAGCACGGGGCAACUGGUGGCGAGUGGGAACGGGUGAGUAAAGCAUCGGAACGUACCCUAGAGUGGGGGAUAACUAUCCGAAAGGAUAGCUAAUACCGCAUAUUCUAUGAGUAGGAAAGCGGGGGAUCUUCGGACCUCGCGCUCUAGGAGCGGCCGAUGUCAGAUUAGGUAGUUGGUGGGGUAAAGGCCUACCAAGCCGACGAUCUGUAGCGGGUCUGAGAGGAUGAUCCGCCACACUGGGACUGAGACACGGCCCAGACUCCUACGGGAGGCAGCAGUGGGGAAUUUAGGACAAUGGGGGCAACCCUGAUCCAGCCAUGCCGCGUGAGUGAAGAAGGCCUUCGGGUUGCAAAGCUCUUUCGGCCGGGACGAAAUCGUGUGGGCUAAUACCCUGAAUGGAUGACGGUACCGGAAUAAGAAGCACCGGCUAGCUACGUGCCAGCAGCCGCGGUAAUACGUAGGGUGCGAGCGUUCAUCGGACAUACUGCGCGUACAGCGUGCGCAGGCGGGCUAGUCAGGACAGGCGUGAAAUCCCCGGGCUUAACUGGGAACUGCGCUUGUGACUGGAAGGCUAGAGUACGGCAGAGGGGGGUGGAAUUCCACGUGUAGCAGUGAAAUGCGUAGAGAUGUGGAGGAACACCGAUGGCGAAGGCAGCCCCCUGGGCCGAUACUGACGCUCAUGCACGAAAGCGUGGGGAGCAAACAGGAUUAGAUACCCUGGUAGUCCACGCCCUAAACGAUGUCAACUAGUUGUUGGGUGGGUAAAACCAUUUAGUAACGUAGCUAACGCGUGAAGUUGACCGCCUGGGGAGUACGGCCGCAAGGUUACAACUCAAAGGAAUUGACGGGGACCCGCACAAGCGGUGGAUGAUGUGGAUUAAUUCGAUGCAACGCGAAAAACCUUACCUACCCUUGACAUGUUCAGAAUCCUGAAGAGAUUUGGGAGUGCCCGAAAGGGAGCUGGAACACAGGUGCUGCAUGGCUGUCGUCAGCUCGUGUCGUGAGAUAUUGGGUUAAGUCCCGCAACGAGCGCAACCCUUGUCGUUAAUUGCCAUCAUUUGGUUGGGCACUUUAACGAGACUGCCGGUGACAAACCGGAGGAAGGUGGGGAUGACGUCAAGUCCUCAUGGCCCUUAUGGGUAGGGCUUCACACGUCAUACAAUGGUCGGUACAGAGGGUUGCCAAGCCGCGAGGUGGAGCCAAUCCCAGAAAGCCGAUCGUAGUCCGGAUUGUAGGCUGCAACUCGCCUGCAUGAAGUCGGAAUCGCUAGUAAUCGCGGAUCAGCAUGUCGCGGUGAUACGUUCCCGGGUCUUGUACACACCGCCCGUCACACCAUGGGAGCGGGUUCCGCCAGAAGUGGGUAGCCUA